rnacentral:lncRNA from 1 species
GUUGUAAUGUAUUAUGGUUGGCAAAAACUCAGGUUUUAUUUUAAUUGCUUUGGCUGAUAGGAAAUAGUUUGAAAACUCAGGUUUUUAGUUUAUCCAGAGUAAAACUAGUCAAUACUGGGUGAGAUGAAUUACUAGUACCAGGUAUGAAUCUUUAAGAAGAUUCCGUGAUCAAUUACAGAUUCUAAAAAUAAUAAGUAUAUAUAAGGCAUAAUUUUUAGGUCACCUGCCAACCAACAAAGCUGACAUGGCUAAAAAAAAAAGAACAUGACCCUGGAUAAUUUGCAAUAUAUAUUGAAAUUGCUAGUCAAAUGUCUUUUUAUAGCAGUGGCGAUAAUUAUUUUGAUAAUUUGAGCAAAAACUAAAUAAGAUGGACAGUAACUACAGACAAAAUAAAAUCAGCAGUAUAAUAUCAACAAAAUACUGGAGAUUGUUAAAUGAUAUAUACACACAGACCUAGAUAUGAGCAGACACAGGCUCUUCAGAACCUUUAGUUUAAUUUAUAAAUUUUCUCAUACGACACUCAUAAUUAUUUACCGUUUCAAUUUGAGAAAGUUUCAGUCAACCAACACAAAAGACAUACAUGAAGCCACAUAGCAUAGAUACAUUUUUUAUAGAUCAGUCAAACAGUUAACAUGCAGCCAAAGAAUCCAUUUUUAGCUCACCUGUCCCGAAGGGACAAGUGAGCUUAUGCCAUCACUUGGCGUCCGUCGUCGUCUGUCGUC